GGGCAUUUGGUCUAGUGGUAUGAUUCUCGCUUUGGGAGCGAGAGGUCCGGAGUUCGAUUCUCGGAAUGCCCC
rnacentral:tRNA from 1 species